rnacentral:rRNA from 1 species
CCGUAGGUGAACCUGCGGAGGGAUCAUUAUCGAGUUUACAACUCCCAAACCCCUGUGAACAUACCUAUCGUUGCCUCGGCGGUGCCCGCUCCGGCGGCCCGCCAGAGGACCCCCAAACUCUUGUUUUAUACAGUAUCUUCUGAGUAACACGAUUAAAUAAAUCAAAACUUUCAACAGCGGAUCUCUUGGUUCUGGCAUCGAUGAAGAACGCAGCGAAAUGCGAUAAGUAAUGUGAAUUGCAGAAUUCAGUGAAUCAUCGAAUCUUUGAACGCACAUUGCGCCCGCCAGUAUUCUGGCGGGCAUGCCUGUUCGAGCGUCAUUUCAACCCUCAAGCCCCCGGGCUUGGUGUUGGGGAUCGGCGUGCCCUCGCGGCGCGCCGUCCCCUAAAUCUAGUGGCGGUCUCGCUGUAGCUUCCUCUGCGUAGUAGCAACACUCGCACUGGAUCGCAGCGCGGCCACGCCGUUAAACCCCCCACUUCUGAAAGUUUGACCUCGGAUCAGGUAGGAAUACCCGCUGAACUUAAGCAUAUCAAUAAGCGGAGG